GAGCACCACAGAGAGAGACAGCAGCAGCAAACCACAGACAGCACUACUACUGUCCCCCUCUCUCUCUCUUCUCUCUCCACUGCUACAGUCCCCCCCUCCACCUUUCCUCUCCACUACUACUGUCCCUCUCUCCACCUCUUUUCUCUCCACUGCUACAGUCCCCCCCUCCACCUUUCCUCUCCACUACUACUGUCCCUCUCUCCACCUCUUCUCUCUCCCCUGCUACAGUCCCCCCCUCCACCUUUCCUCUCCACUACUACUGUCCCUCUCUCCCUCUCUUCUCUCUCCCCUGCUACAGUCCCCCCCCCCUCCACCUUUCCUCUCCACUACUACUGUCCACCUCUUCUCCACUUCUUCUCUCUCUGUGUCUCCCUUGUUCACCUUGUCUGGUCAGUGUGGAUGUGAGAUGGGUUGUGGAUAUUCCUCAACGACCAGCACGGCUGGAGGAGGUCCAGCUGAAGCCUCCAGAGAAGAAGUCACAGAGGAGUCUGCACAAGAAGAAGAAAAAAGGAUGAACUAUGGAGGUGUGUAUGUGGGACUACCAGCAGACCUGAGCACUAUGCCUCCUAUCCAGAUGGGAACACACCAAGAUGAGUGAAGCAUCAUUGAAACAACUUUCACUAAAGGAACUGAACUGGGAUCAGUUUCUAAGGUGAAUGAUCAGACCAUGGGUCAAAUGCUCACCAUGGAUGUGACUGCUCAGGAAUCAGCGUUGUGUUAAUAGGCACAAAACGGAAGAAAAAAGUCCAAAACGAAAUGGAAGUGGGAGGUACUAUCUGAACUUGUUCAAUAAGAAAUACUUGUUUUCAUUUGUGUUAAACAAAAUUUGAAAACAGGCACCCUAAUGAACACGACCCAGGUCAAAGGGCAUCACGGAUGUUGGAGUCGGCAUUCACCACUCAGGAUCAUGAGACAAGGCAACCUUCUACUCAGAACUAAAUGUCAGACUGGAUCAGAUAGGCCUAUUCAGAUCUCAGCAAUACCAAGAAACAAGACCUCUCUCAGAACUCCUAUUCAAAUAUUUCUUGAUUUUUUUCUCUCUGUCUCUGAGUCAAUAGUUCUCAGAAAUUAUCUCUAUAGGAGCUGGAUCAAAUGUUCCCCAUUUGUAUCAUUGGCCGAAUAGAGAAUAAUCUUUCUUCACUCAAUAUGUAGUCAUAUGUACAGUCGUGGCCAAAAGUUUUGAGAAUGACACAAAUAUUAAUUUCCACAAAGUUUGCUGCUUCAGUGUCUUUAGGUAUUUUUGGCAGAUGUUACUAAGGAAUACUGAAGUAUAAUUACAAGCAUUUCAUAAGUGUCAAAGGCUUUUAUUGACAAUUACAUGAAGUUGAUGCAAAGAGUCAAUAUUUGCAGUGUUGACCCUUCUUUUUCAAGACCUCUGCAAUCCACCCUGGCAUGCUGUCAAUUAACUUCUGGGCCAGCCCAUUGGCAGCCCAUUCUUGCAUAAUCAAUGCUUGGAGUUUGUCAGGAUUUGUGGGGUUUUGUUUGUCCACCCACUUCUUGAGGAUUGACCACAAGUUCUCAAUGGGAUUAAGGUCUAUCGAUGUUUUGUUCCCCGAGCCACUUAGUUAUCACUUUUGCCUUAUGGCAAGGUGCUCCAUCAUGCUGGAAAAGGCAUUGGUCAUCACCAAACUGUUCCUGGAUGGUUGGGAGAAGUUGCUCUCGGAGGAUGUGUUGGUACCAUUCUUUAUUCAUGGCUGUGUUCUUAGACAAAAUUGUGAGUGAGUCCACUCCCUUGGCUGAGAAGCAACCCCACACAUGAAUGGUCUCAGGAUGCUUUACUGUUGGCAUGACACAGGACUGAUGGUAGCGCUCACCUUGUCUUCUCCGGACAAGCUUUUUUCCGGAUGCCCCAAACAACCCUGAAAGGGGAUUCAUCAGAGAAAAUGACUUUACCCCAGUCCUCAGCAGUCCAAUCUCUGUACCUGCAGAAUAUCAGUCUGUCCCUGAUGUUUUUCCCGGAGAGGAAAGGGCUUCUUUGCUGCCCUUCUUGAUACCAGGCCAUCCUCCAAAAGUCUUCGCCUCACUGUGCGUGCAGAUGCACUCACACCUGCCUGCUGUCACUCUUCAUAACAUUCUGGAGUAUAUGCAAAUUGCCAUCAUACAAACUGAGGCAGCAGACUUUGUGAAAAUUAAUAUUUGUGUCAUUCUCAAAACCUUUGGCCACGACCGUAUUUUUUCUUUUCUUGAAUGUAUUCCAACAUGUUAACUAUUUUCACAACAUAGUUUCCACAUUCUUAAAUAAAUCUUGUGGAAAUGCA